rnacentral:rRNA from 1 species
UACAGAGGGGGCAAGCGUUGUUCGGAAUUACUGGGCGUAAAGGGCGCGUAGGCGGCCUCUUAAGUCGAACGUGAAAUCCCCGGGCUCAACCCGGGAACUGCGUCCGAUACUGGGGGGCUUGAAUCCGGGAGAGGAGAGUGGAAUUCCCAGUGUAGAGGUGAAAUUCGUAGAUAUUGGGAAGAACACCGGUGGCGAAGGCGGCUCUCUGGACCGAGACUGACGCUGAGGCGCGAAAGCGUGGGGAGCAAACAGG